rnacentral:rRNA from 1 species
AUUGAACGCUGGCGGCAGGCUUAACACAUGCAAGUCGAGCGGAGAUGAGGUGCUUGCACCUUAUCUUAGCGGCGGACGGGUGAGUAAUGCUUAGGAAUCUGCCUAUUAGUGGGGGACGACAUUCCGAAAGGAAUGCUAAUACCGCAUACGUCCUACGGGAGAAAGCAGGGGAUCUUCGGACCUUGCGCUAAUAGAUGAGCCUAAGUCGGAUUAGCUAGUUGGUGGGGUAAAGGCCUACCAAGGCGACGAUCUGUAGCGGGUCUGAGAGGAUGAUCCGCCACACUGGGACUGAGACACGGCCCAGACUCCUACGGGAGGCAGCAGUGGGGAAUAUUGGACAAUGGGGGGAACCCUGAUCCAGCCACGCCGCGUGUGUGAAGAAGGCCUUAUGGUUGUAAAGCACUUUAAGCGAGGAGGAGGCUACUGAGACUAAUACUCUUGGAUAGUGGACGUUACUCGCAGAAUAAGCACCGGCUAACUCUGUGCCAGCCGCCGCGGUAACAC